GCAAGUCGAGCGAAUGGAUUAAGAGCUUGCUCUUAUGAAGUUAGCGGCGGACGGGUGAGUAACACGUGGGUAACCUGCCCAUAAGACUGGGAUAACUCCGGGAAACCGGGGCUAAUACCGGAUAACAUUUUGAACNGCAUGGUUCGAAAUUGAAAGGCGGCUUCGGCUGUCACUUAUGGAUGGACCCGCGUCGCAUUAGCUAGUUGGUGAGGUAACCGGCUCACCAAGGCAACGAUGCCGUAGCCCGACCUGAGAGGGUGAUCGGCCACACUUGGGACUGAGACACGGCCCAGACUCCUACGGGGAGGCAGCAGUAGGGAAUCUUCCGCAAUGGACGAAAGUCUGACGGAGCAACGCCGCGUGAGUGAUGAAGGCUUUCGGGUCGUAAAACUCUGUUGUUAGGGAAGAACAAGUGCUAGUUGAAUAAGCUGGCACCUUGACGGUACCUAACCAGAAAGCCACGGCUAACUACGUGCCAGCAGCCGCGGUAAUACGUAGGUGGCAAGCGUUAUCCGGAAUUAUUGGGCGUAAAGCGCGCGCAGGUGGUUUCUUAAGUCUGAUGUGAAAGCCCACGGCUCAACCGUGGAGGGUCAUUGGAAACUGGGAGACUUGAGUGCAGAAAAGAAGUGGAAUUCCAUGUGUAGCGGUGAAAUGCGUAGAGAUAUGGAGGAACACCAGUGGCGAAGGCGACUUUUCUGGUCUGUAACUGACACUGAGGCGCGAAAGCGUGGGGGGCAAACAGGAUUAGAUACCCUGGUAGUCCACGCCGUAAAC
rnacentral:rRNA from 1 species